ACAUACAUAUAUGUAUAUAUACAUAUUUGUAUCUAUAUGUAUAAAGCAAUAUAUGCAUUUGUGCAGGCAAUGGCAAAAUAAACUGUUGUUUCGCAGUUCGGUAAAGAGCAGGUUUGUAUCAGAUAUAUCUGUAAAUCUUCAAGCAGUGUGUGUGUGUGUGUGUGUAUGACCGUGUGCAUGUGUGCACCUGUGAGUGUUGUGUAUAUGUGUGUAUGAGUUUGACUAUAAUUAUGAUUAUGACUGUGGCUAUGACCAACAGCCCAACAAAUACUUUAAACAAUGUGAUUUUAACCAGAACAUUUGAUAGCAUAUGGACAAGGAAAAUUAAAACAAACUACAUACUUUAUACACAUAUUGAAUGCAACACACACCCCGAUUUGUUAAUGUAAUGAUAACGAUAUUAAUAAAAAUGAUAAUAUUAA